UUCCAUCUGAGAUUGAAGCAUAUACUGAUUAGAAUGGUACAGAGAAGAUGAGCACGGUCCCCAUGCAGGGAUGACACACAAACUCAUGAAGCACUCUGUUUUUUU